GAGACAAAGAGACCCACAGAGAGAGGAUGUCACAUGGCUGGUCCAGGGACUGAAUCUCACCAGGUUGGCCAUCAGACUCCCCAGGCUGCUGUUCUUCCUGCUGCUGCUGCUGCACCAGCUCUCCAACUUUAUAAAUGCAGUUCUCAUCCCUCAUCAAGGACACUUCUCCUUGCAACAGACAGAGAUCAUUGCAGACUACAACCAAUCAAAAUGCAGGGUUGUAGAGUUCAUUCCCAACUGAUAUAUCAGCAAUACAACUCCUGCAGCUAAGUCUUGUGUAUGCUGUCACAGUUCUGUGACUUAAUAUGUGCUUCAGCCCUGUUGUAUGACACUGGAUGACACUGUCGACCUUGAAGUUUUUAUCCUCCCACCUCCACGUACCAAGCCUUGGUGCUACAGAUUUGUGCCACCACACCUGGUUUAUGCAGUGCUAGAGAUGGAACCCAGGGCUUUGAAUGCAAGGCAAGCACUCUACCAAGAAAACCAUAUGCCCCU